CGCGCAGGCGGCCUUUCAAGUCAGUGGUGAAAGCCCGGAGCUCAACUCCGGAACUGCCAUUGAAACUGUUUGGCUUGAGUACGAGAGAGGUGAGUGGAAUUCCCAGUGUAGAGGUGAAAUUCGUAGAUAUUGGGAAGAACACCGGUGGCGAAGGCGGCUCACUGGCUCGUAACUGACGCUCAGGCGCGACAGCGUGGGGAUCAAGCA
rnacentral:rRNA from 1 species